UACAGAGGGGGCAAGCGUUAUUCGGAAUUAUUGGGCGUAAAGGGCGCGUAGGCGGGCCACCAAGUCCGCGGUGAAAUCCCCCGGCUCAACCGGGGAAGUGCCGCGGAUACUGGGGGCCUCGAGGGAGGUAGGGGCGUGCGGAACACUGGGUGGAGCGGUGAAAUGCGUUGAUAUCCAGUGGAACUCCGGUGGCGAAGGCGGCACGCUGGACCUCAUCUGACGCUGAGGCGCGAAAGCCAGGGGAGCGAACGGG
rnacentral:rRNA from 1 species